CCAAAGCAUGGAACUGAACAAUGCUACCAGAUAUGGCACCGAGUGAAAUCCUUCUGUUGAUUUUUUCCUGUAAAUUCGAUAAAAUGUCGGCCUGCAUUUAAUAAUUAACAAGUUGGUUAUAUGUCUCUCGCUACACACACACACACACAUAUAUAUAUACACACAAUAUAUAUAUAUAUAUAUUCCUUUUAUAUAAAAAAAAUAAUGUAUGUAUCACUUACACUGGGGAUAAGUAAACCAUGGUCGAGAUUAGAUUUCCUGGCAUCAUCAAAAGAAAUAAUAUUAGUAGUGGUCAUUCAGAUGGAAUUUCCUAACUACCAAAAACUUUUAAUUAAAAUAAAUAACACUUUCAUUCUCCAUAUAUUUAUUAGUGCGUAACAUAAUUUAUAGUGGUGAGGAAGGUUGAUCAUCAAAGAUCACACUGAUUUACAAUGUUACUUAACAUAAAAACUUACCUACAAAUUAACAAGUAAAAAUCGGACAACUAAUCUUUGAAUAGUGUACAUACAAAGAAAAUUUAUUGUCGUAUGGUUUGUAAAUAUAUGUAUUUAGCUAGGCUUUUCUGUAAAGAAAAAGUGGUCAUUUCAGGCGAUUCACAAACGGAUCCGAAAAAGAAUAUGGCCCAGAUGAUGACCAAGAUUACGUAACAAAUGCGACCAACUAGGUUUUAAAGGUGUCAUAACUGAGAGAAGAAUAUGACAAUAAUAAACAAGAUCACGUAUGUGGCACUAAACAAAUACAUAUGAUCGAGCACCCAAAAUGACACUACAUGUAUGAUGUAUCGUGUUUGUUCUGCUCUUUCAUUUGGUACACCUAGCUAGCUAGUUCCCAUCACAAUAACUCACCUGCUUCAAAUAAAAAAUUUCAUGGAAACAGCUAGUAUUUAACAAGCCACUCGCAGUUAAUUUAGUGGUAAGGAUGAAUAGGGUGAUCGGUAGAUGUAUGUUAAGUACAGAGUUCAAAACUCUCUAAUGUAACAAAAUUUUAAAAUAAAAUAAAAUAAAACUCAAUGAGUAAUGUACACCUACAUAUACAUCUUUUGUUUACCUAGAAUUCCAAAUGUAAAUGCCAAAGGAUGGUGACUGUCUGCUACUAUAGCCAUAAUCUCUCUAGAUCUGUAAACCCUAACUAAGAAAACUCAAACUGAUAAUCUCUCUCUCUCUCUCUCUCUCUCUCUCACACACAAUGGAAAUUAAGAGGGUGAUAUUUAUGUAGAAGAAGCUAAGGAGGAGGACUCAGUUGUUGAUGAGAAACCCUAGAGCUCUCUCUAUCUCUUCCUCUCAACUUAUCAUGCAGAGAAAAUUAAAGGACUACUAGCCGAGGAUG
rnacentral:lncRNA from 1 species